AUUGAACGCUGGCGGAAUGCUUUACACAUGCAAGUCGAACGGCAGCACGGACUUCGGUCUGGUGGCGAGUGGCGAACGGGUGAGUAAUGUAUCGGAACGUGCCCAGUCGUGGGGGAUAACGUAGUGAAAAUUGCGCUAAUACCGCAUACGAUCUAUGGAUGAAAGCGGGGGAUCGCAAGACCUCGCGCGAUUGGAGCGGCCGAUAUCAGAUUAGGUAGUUGGUGGGGUAAAGGCCCACCAAGCCAACGAUCUGUAGCUGGUCUGAGAGGACGACCAGCCACACUUGAACUGAGACACGGUCCAGACUCCUACGGGAGGCAGCAGUGGGGAAUUUUGGACAAUGGGCGCAAGCCUGAUCCAGCCAUUCCGCGUGCAGGAUGAAGGCCCUCGGGUUGUAAGCUGCUUUUGUACACAACGAAAAGGUUUCUACUAAUACUAGGAGCUCAUGACGGUACUGUAAGAAUAAGCACCGGCUAACUACGUGCCAGCCGCCGCCGUAA
rnacentral:rRNA from 1 species